GGGCCCGCACAAGCGGUGGAGUAUGUGGUUUAAUUCGAUGCAACGCGAAGAACCUUACCAGGGUUUGACAUCCUGCGAACCUCUUGGAAACAGGAGGGUGCCUUCGGGAACGCAGUGACAGGUGGUGCAUGGCUGUCGUCAGCUCGUGUCGUGAGAUGUUGGGUUAAGUCCCGCAACGAGCGCAACCCACGUCUUUAGUUGCCAGCAUUUAGUUGGGCACUCUAGAGAGACCGCCGGUGAUAAACCGGAGGAAGGUGUGGAUGACGUCAAGUCAUCAUGCCCCUUACAUCCUGGGCUACACACGUACUACAAUGCUACGGACAAAGAGCAGCAAGUUCGCGAGGACAAGCAAAUCCCAUAAACCGUGGCUCAGUUCAGAUCGUAGGCUGCAACUCGCCUACGUGAAGGCGGAAUCGCUAGUAAUCG
rnacentral:rRNA from 1 species